GGCUAGCUCAUGAGCUUUUUUCUAUACUCUAGUUUUAUGUGGAGGUGCAGGGCAAUUUUUAAUAUUAAGGAUUCCUCCAAUAUGUAAUUUUUCAGGUUGUCAUUCAAAAUCAUAAGACCUGUAUUGCAUGUAUGGUCCAUGGAUCUCUGCAAGGAAUCAUGUAGUCAAGCAAGUGGGCUAAACAAACAAGCCCAGUGACCACUACAUUUCUACAGGUGAUUUUGCAAGGCACAGUGGCCCAAAUCACUAUUCCUGGUGUAUUUUUCAGAGGGAUCCUGUAGUCACAAGGAGGCUUAUGGUGUACUUGUGUGGAUUUCUAGAGACAUCAAGUGUUGUGCUUGUGAAGGUCUUGCCUUGGUAUUAGAGAGCACAGGAGCAGGUGUCCAGGUAGGAAAUAGUAAAUUCUGGGGACAGGCUGAUUUCGUGGCAGUCGUCCUAGAACAGGUAAGUUUCCAUGUUAUUCAAUGGUUUGCUGGGGCACGAUAUACUCAUUGGCUUUACACUGACACCAUCAUAUCUAUUUUUUUUUCAGGAUCCCACAUGAAUGCUAUGUAUAGAAGCAUUUGCAGUUUUUAG
rnacentral:lncRNA from 1 species